GUGGGAGGGGGCUUGCUCCCGAUAGCGGCAAGUCAGUCACAUCAUCGUUGACUGACAUACCGUAAUCGGGAGCAAGCCCCCUCCCAC
rnacentral:misc_RNA from 1 species